rnacentral:rRNA from 1 species
GAUGAACGCUAGCGGGAGGCUUAACACAUGCAAGUCGAGGGGUAGGGUAGCAAUACCUGAGACCGGCGGACGGGUGCGUAACGCGUAUGCAACCUGCCUUAUACAGGGGGAUAGCCCAUGGAAACGUGGAUUAACACCCCAUAGGAUUACGGGAUCGCAUGAUUUUGUGAUUAAAACUGAGGUGGUAUAAGAUGGGCAUGCGUCUGAUUAGGUAGUUGGUAGGGUAAUGGCCUACCAAGCCGACGAUCAGUAGGGGUUCUGAGAGGAUUACCCCCACACUGGUACUGAGACACGGACCAGACUCCUACGGGAGGCAGCAGUGAGGAAUAUUGGUCAAUGGCCGGAAGGCUGAACCAGCCAUCCCGCGUGCGGGAUGACGGCCCUAUGGGUUGUAAACUGCUUUUGUACCUGAAGAAUAGGCCCAACGAGUUGGGAUUUGCCGGUAAGGUAUGAAUAAGCAUCGGCUAACUCCGUGCCAGCAGCCGCGGUAACAC